rnacentral:lncRNA from 1 species
AUCUCUCAUCCAGAUAAGAAUUUGAAAAAAAUAGAGACAAUGGAAAUGAAGAGGAGCCGAAUCCCCGGAUUUUGUAUUGCAUACCAGUAGUAAUUCUAUCCAUUUGAGGCUAAUCAUAUAUAGAGGUUAUUUAACAAUAUCAUUCUUCCUAAUUUUAACUAUUGGCAUUCAAGUUUUAUAUUAUGUCUUAUUUUCAUAAACUAGUAUUAGUACCUAUGUGAUGUGCAGUUAAUAUUUAAGAAGAAAGAUGACAAUAAAAGAUAGAUAAAAAUUAUUUAAACUUAUAAUUUCACCAACUGAAUAGAACAAUAAAAAAUUUCUUUCAAUUAUUCACCAACAGAUA